GACGAACGCUGGCGGCGUGCUUAACACAUGCAAGUCGAACGGACAGGCCCUGCUUUUGUUGCUUGCUCGAUUGGCGAACGCGGGAGUAACACGUGUGUAUCCUGCCCCUGUCUUUCUGAUAACUUCACGAAACUGCGGCUAAUACCGGAUAUGAGCUCCUGCUCCAUGGUGGUGGUUGGAAAGUUUCGGCGGUGGUGUCUGAACUCGCAGCUUAUCAGCUUGUUGGUGGGGUAGUGGAUUACCAAGGCUUUGACGGCUAGCCGGCCUGAGAGGGUGACCGGCGACACUGGGACUGAGGUACGGCCCAGACUCCUACUGGAGGCAGAAGUGGAGAGUAUGACGCAAUAGGCGGACGCGUGAUGCGACAGUGCCGCGUGCGGAAUGAUGGGUUACGGGGGAUAAACAGAUUUCGCCGUUGACGAGGCGUGAGUGACGGUAAUGAGUAAAGAAGCACCGGCUAACUACGUG
rnacentral:rRNA from 1 species